CUUUUAACAGUGUGCUUGGUGAUUAACCACUAGUAUCUGGGAAUAAUAAUUGGUCAUGGACAUCCAUCCUAUGGGGUUGAUUAACUAGGAAAAAGCAGCAUAUUUUUUCUUUCUCUUCUACUUUUUUUUCCUCUUUUUUUUUUCCUCUUUUUUUUUUUUUUUUUUUUUUUUUGUCUUUUUCACUGUAAAGCUUUUCCGUGGUAAUUCCACCAUUCAUUACGAUGGAGAAAUUGGCUCCAAACCAAGUACUUCUGCCAAAGCCAUUAUUUCCAUCAUCACACUCUGCAUCAGUCUGUAGUGCAGCCUUGUGGGAAGACAAUGUUCUGUCCCCUUGUGGUUCUUAAGUUAUGGGUAAGGAGCUUACAUAUAUUAAAAGGAGGGUCUUCACUUAGUCUCUUAAUCUUUAUGAGCACUAAUAAUAGUCAACUCUGUUUCCAAAAUUUAGAAACACUUUCUUUUAGAGUAGACGGGUUGCACAUGUUAGAAGAUAAGUCUCAGUUCAAUGAGAUUAGAAGCUAAGUGUUUUUUUCAAAUGCCUACACUUUUUUUUUUUUUUUUUUUUGGUAAGGGCUUUUGUAUCUUUAAUGCAUACACUUUUCCUCCUAUACUUACUUUCUGUAUCUUUAAGAGGAUAAUUGCUGAAUUGAAAUUUGAGAGUGUUAUCUUAAUAACCAAUUACUCAAAUAACUUUGAAAUUGGCUUAAAUUGGCUCGUCAUGCUACAUUUACCUGAAUCUUUUUAUGGGAAAGUUAGGAACAAAAAAAAAAAAAAAAAGAAAAAAAAAAAAAAGAAAAAAAAAUUGGCAGCCUGAUUUGUUUAGCUUUGCUGGAGGUUCCUGGUUGCAGCGGGGAGAGUGGCCCAGCGUGACCCCGGCACAGACCCCCUGCCUGGCCGCCUCCGGUACGGCGGAGGAAUGCAGCGGGAGGCCAGGGCGGCCGGACCCUCGCCCCGCGGGCGCUGCUCUCUCUGGAGGCCUGUACAAACACAGCCUGCUGGUGUGCGGCGGAGAGCAGUGCUAUUGCCCUGUAAGUGUUCAUAUACAGCAGAGUGGUUGGAGAAGUCCUUGAAGACCCUGAUCCAAUGCUCACCAAGGAAAUUUGCUCUCAUGGCAUGGAUAUGGUUUCAAGCCAGGCAGACCCAUCCUGGAGCUUUCCCUGCUUGCUCAAAAGGCUGCUUGAAAUUCUUGCCAUUAACUGUCCAUACCGGUGCUACUUGGUACAGCUCUGUCAUUUCUUCAAGAUGCUUCUGAAGAGCAGUAUAACAAAAUCCUGAUUUUACGAGGACAAUCUGUAUUUGGAAGACUUCAGGGCUGGCUGUGUGGUGCUUGCCCUGCCCAGGUGUCCUGCCUGGUGGCAACAGCUCUGACCAAACUGCAUUUUGGAGCUUCUGGUAUCAGCUAACUCUAGAAACCUUUAUUCAUAAUACUGCCAACAAUAUUUUAGCAUCUUAAACAAUAAUUUUGUGCUUUGUAAUUGACUGUAUCUACAAAAACACGUUUCCUUUCAUAAUAUGCCACUAAGUCACCCAACGACUGACUGACUUAAGAACAAGGUCAGAAGUGCAAUUAUACGUGAAGAUAGGUGCAAGACAGAGAGUCAAUGCACAGGAAGCUCCUCACACAUGCUGGUGCUGCAGGCAGGUAUUAGUUCUUGUGGAAGUGCUGAAAUCCCUGAGGCUGUCAGGGCACUCACGCUGGAGAGGCGCUGAAGUUACGGUGGGAGAAAAACUCCUGAUAUGGUGUUUUGAACCCGUCACAUAUCAGCUUCCUCAGGCUGGUGCACUGCUAUCGUUUUCCAAAUCGGGUACCAAAUAUCAGUACCAAAAUGCCUUAAUUGCUUUCCCAGGGAAGGCAGCAGAAGGUAACCUAGAUAUUCAACUGCACAAAUCUUAUGUUAUCUUUAUUAAAACAAGUUACAAAAUUACCUACAUUGCAUGCAUGGGAAGAUUUUUUGACAUAUUCAGAGAUGAGCAUAUGUUAAAAUAAUCAUCUGGAAAUAAAAAAGCUCAGAAUAUCA
rnacentral:lncRNA from 1 species